rnacentral:misc_RNA from 1 species
ACAAAGAAGCUGGUUAGUAGGAGGUAAGUUGCAUGGUUUCCAAGCCAAGUUGCCAGGGCUAGGUAUAAGUAACUUGAAAUUAGAAAAACCAAAGUGCUUGAAUUAUUCUCACAGACACAGAAAUUAUGUAUGCAGCCAGAAGCCCUGCACCCAAUACCCCAUCAAGCAUCAUGUUUCUACAUGGUAAGAUAACUAGUGCCCAGAGCAAACUAGCCACCAGAAAGCAUAAUGUCUCCAAUAGAUAUGGAUCUCUUGGGAUCACAACAUAAGAUGGGUAUCGAUGCCAGGUUGAGCUAACAAGAGACAAACCCAAACCAAAAAGGAUGUUGAAAAUGGGACCUGCAUAACACCCUGAGAUAGCUACUUGUGCACCUUCAGGGCUUCCAUUCAAUGCCAUGGUCAAAUUGGUUAUCAGAUCCCCCAGUGAAUUGCCCCAGGCAAGAACUAUUAGCCCAAGAAUCGAAGGACUUACUUGAAAUAUAUAUCCCAGGGAAACUAACAAGGCUACUAAUUCCUGAGCUAUGAUAUAACUCCAAAUCACACUCAUUAAGAACCCUCCUGCCAGCCAGGGAAACAAGCACUUCUUUGGUGGGCUUGAAUUCUCAGUUCUAGUAUAUGCAACAAUCCCCAAUAUCAUCCCAAACAAGAGCAUAAUUCCACAUGCUACUACACCAUUCAUGAAACCAGCAUCCUCAUCCUGAGGAUUCCAAAGAACUGAUAACAGAACUGGAGCCAGUGUCACUGAAGCAACANGCUUAGACCAUCUCUUUUCACAAACAACAGGAAUUGUCAAUCUCCUAGGCAAGUAAAGAGGCAUCUCGAGCAUGGUAAGAAGCAAACGACAAGGAGCAGGUAAUCUUAAACAAAAGCAACACUUCUUGAUUUCUACUUCCUCAGCACCACACUCUAAAGNAAAAUUUACCUCCUCUUUUCCCAUGCCGCUUAAAAUGGGUAUGCUCAAGUCACUGCAGUAACUUGAACUAUCAUCUUCCUUUCCUUUACGCCAGUGGGUGUCUGAGGAGUAA